rnacentral:rRNA from 1 species
CAGCCGCCGCGGGAAUACGAAGGGUGCAAGCGUUACUCGGAAUUACUGGGCGUAAAGCGUGCGUAGGUGGUGGUUUAAGUCCGUUGUGAAAGCCCUGGGCUCAACCUGGGAAUUGCAGUGGAUACUGGGUCACUAGAGUGUGGUAGAGGAUAGUGGAAUUUCCGGUGUAGCAGUGAAAUGCGUAGAGAUCGGAAGGAACAUCUGUGGCGAAGGCGACUAUCUGGGCCAACACUGACACUGAGGCACGAAAGCGUGGGGAGCAAACAGGAUUAGAUACCCGUGUAGUUCCUGUCUCUUAUAC